GACGAACGCUGGCGGCGUGCCUAAUACAUGCAAGUAGAACGCUGAAGGAGGAGCUUGCUUCUCUGGAUGAGUUGCGAACGGGUGAGUAGCGCGUAGGUAACCUGCCUGGUAGCGGGGGAUAACUAUUGGAAACGAUAGCUAAUACCGCAUAAGAGUAGAUGUUGCAUGACAUUUGCUUAAAAGGUGCAAUUGCAUCACUACCAGAUGGACCUGCGUUGUAUUAGCUAGUUGGUGGGGUAACGGCUCACCAAGGCGACGAUACAUAGCCGACCUGAGAGGGUGAUCGGCCACACUGGGACUGAGACACGGCCCAGACUCCUACGGGAGGCAGCAGUAGGGAAUCUUCGGCAAUGGACGGAAGUCUGACCGAGCAACGCCGCGUGAGUGAAGAAGGUUUUCGGAUCGUAAAGCUCUGUUGUAAGAGAAGAACGAGUGUGAGAGUGGAAAGUUCACACUGUGACGGUAUCUUACCAGAAAGGGACGGCUAACUACGUG
rnacentral:rRNA from 1 species